rnacentral:tRNA from 1 species
UUAAUAGAAGCCAAAAAGCGGCUAUUCACUGUUAAUGAAUACAUUGAUUUCCUCCUAUUAAG